rnacentral:rRNA from 1 species
UACAGAGGUCUCAAGCGUUGUUCGGAUUCAUUGGGCGUAAAGGGCUCGUAGGCGGCCAACUAAGUCAGACGUGAAAUCCCUCGGCUUAACCGGGGAACUGCGUCUGAUACUGGAUGGCUUGAGUUCGGGAGAGGGAUGCGGAAUUCCAGGUGUAGCGGUGAAAUGCGUAGAUAUCGGGAGGAACACCUGUGGCGAAAGCGGCGCACUGGACCACAACUGACGCUGAGGCGCGAAAGCUAGGGGAGCAAACAGG